CGUAUCCAGACAACGUAUCUGUGACAAGAGUAGCACGGUAAAGGUCUGAUGAUGACUUGAGGUUGAAUGAAGAUCCAGACGUGAUAAAACGUAUUGUGUUAUAUAUUGUCGUUGUAUUGCGGUACAUUUGACAUUCAAUGAAGAUAUGAUACGAGUAAUCUGAGGAGGAAGGAAGGGCCCAAGUGCUGUUUAUAUUCAUAGACAAGGAACUCCUUGAAAUUAAUUACUGUGGGCAAUGCUGCAAAAAGAGUAAGGAGAAUAGUGCUGAGUGAACACGAAGAAUCACCACGGACAUUUGUCUACAAAUCACAGGUUUGGAAGGAAAUACAACAUUCUUUGACACAACACUCAGGGGUGUGUGGGGGUAAACUACUUG